rnacentral:misc_RNA from 1 species
GAUGAAGAACGCAGCGAAAUGCGAUAAGUAAUGUGAAUUGCAGAAUUCAGUGAAUCAUCGAAUCUUUGAACGCACCUUGCGCUCCUUGGUAUUCCGAGGAGCAUGCCUGUUUGAGUGUCAUGAAAUUCUCAACCUUUUCAGCUUUCUUUGUUGAUCAGGCUUGGAUGUGGGAGUAUGCGGGCUUCUCAGAAGUCGGCUCUCCUGAAAUGCAUUAGCGGGACCUUUGUUGCCUGGCUUUGGUGUGAUAAUUAUCUACGCCAUUGUAGUCAAGCAGCUUAAAAUGAGGUUUCAGCUUCUAACCGUCUCCCCUGAGACAACUUUUUGACAAUUUGACCUCAAAUCAGGUAGGACUACCCGCUGAACUUAAGCAUAUCAGUAAGCGGAGGA